rnacentral:rRNA from 1 species
CCUACGGGGGGCAGCAGUAGGGAAUAUUGCUCAAUGGGGGAAACCCUGAAGCAGCAACGCCGCGUGGAGGAUGAAGGUUUUCGGAUUGUAAACCUCCUUUGUUAGAGAAGAUAAUGACGGUACCUAACGAAUAAGCACCGGCUAACUCCGUGCCAGCAGCCGCGGUAACACGGAGGGUGCAAGCGUUACUCGGAAUCACUGGGCGUAAAGAGCGCGUAGGCGGGAUAGCAAGUCAGAUGUGAAAUCCUAGGGUUUAACCAUAGAACUGCAUUUGAAACUGUUAUUCUAGAGUGUGGGAGAGGUAGGUGGAAUGCUUGGUGUAGGGGUGAAAUGCGUAGAGAUCAAGAGGAACACUGAUUGCGAAGGCGGCCUGCUGGAACAUAACUGACGCUGAGGCGCGAAAGCGUGGGGAGCAAACAGGAUUAGAUACCCUUGUAGUC